GACGAACGCUGGCGGCGUGCUUAACACAUGCAAGUCGAACGAAGUGGCGAACGGGUGAGUAAUACGUGAGUAACCUGCCCUCCUUUUUGGGAUAAGCCUUUGAAACGGGGUCUAAUACCGAAUAAAGGGGGAUGGGCUCGCGGCCUAUGAGCUUGUUGGUGGGGUGAGUGCUUACCAAGGCGGUGACGGGUAGCCGGCCUGAGAGGGUGGCCGUCCACAUUGGGACUGAGUUACGGACCAGACUCGUGCGGGAGGAAGCAGUGGGGGGUAUUGGGCAAGGUGCGAAAGCCUGAUUCAGCGACGCCGCGGGGGGGGUGAAGGCUUUCGGGUUGUAAACCUCUUUCGCUAGCGAACGGGUAGGUGGAGAAGAAGCGCCGGCUAACUACGUGACAGCAGCCGCGGUAAUAC
rnacentral:rRNA from 1 species